AGAUGGGUUAAAUGUGUGAUAGUCCCUUUGCUAUCCUGUUAUUAGAAUUUGUUAUUUUGAACCCUUUCGAUCGCUGGAUAAAUAUUAUUGAGAAAUCACAAGAUAUUUCAUAUAUAUACGCUAUAUCGUCAAUUUAAAAGGCAUAUUAUUGAAAACAGCUUACAAAAACGAAGGCCUACUAUAUGUAUAUAUAUAUCAUCUAGAUAUACAGUUUAGUUUCUAAAAAUUCACAUAUAUUAUACUUUUAGUUUUUAGUUAUUAAAUGACUAUUUAUCCAUCCCAUGAAAUGCUAACUAGAGUGGAUUAAAGAGUCUAAUUUACAGCAAAAUAAUAAUUUUUUCUUUCUGACAUUUAGGGACGAAAUUAAAACAUAGUGUGUAUCAAACUUCAAGAAAUAAGGUGUUUAAAUAAGAAGUUUAGGGAGCAACAUACAAUGACAGGUUAGUAGAGGGACUACAAAUACAGUUUAUCUUUAUAUUUAUCCACAUGAUAAUUAAAUAUGGUUGAGAAAAACUAAAAUCUCCAUGCAUGCAUGGCAUUGUCCUUUUAUACUAUUUUAGUGAUGUGCCAAGAUUCUAUGUGUGAUUUGGG
rnacentral:lncRNA from 1 species